UGGGGAAUUUUGGACAAUGGGCGAAANCCUGAUCCAGCAAUGCCGCGUGUGUGAAGAAGGCCUUCGGGUUGUAAAGCACUUUUGUCCGGAAAGAAAUCCUUGGCUCUAAUACAGUCGGGGGAUGACGGUACCGGAAGAAUAAGCACCGGCUAACUACGUGCCAGCAGCCGCGGUAAUACGUAGGGUGCAAGCGUUAAUCGGAAUUACUGGGCGUAAAGCGUGCGCAGGCGGUUUGCUAAGACCGAUGUGAAAUCCCCGGGCUCAACCUGGGAACUGCAUUGGUGACUGGCAGGCUAGAGUAUGGCAGAGGGGGGUUAGAAUUCCACGUGUAGCAGUGAAAUGCGUAGAGAUGUGGAGGAAUACCGAUGGCGAAGGCAGCCCCCUUGGGCCAAUACUGACGCUCAUGCACGAAAGCGU
rnacentral:rRNA from 1 species